rnacentral:snRNA from 12 species
AAACUUACCUGGCGCCGGGUUCAGGGUGAUCAGCAAGGCUCUGACCCCAGGUGGAG